rnacentral:lncRNA from 1 species
GCGGCCGCCCCAAACCUGCCCGGGGCUCCUUCUCCCCUUCGGCCCCGAUUCCCCUUUCCCACUAGGGCUCCCCUCUGUUCACUGGCUCUCCUCACCCUAAGUCUGCAGCCACCAGGACCAGGGAGGGGGUGGGUUGCGGGGGUCCUCCUUCCUGCCCCUUGGCUCACCUUCCCCCAUCCACGCACCAGGAGCGGAGAGCCCGGAACUAAGAACUGUAGACCCAGAGAGGUGAGACUGGCCCCAAGCACCUGGGUCCUCAAGAAGAGUCACCGUUUCCGUGCCAGGAGGAUCCAAGGUGGGGAAACUGAGGCUGAGAGAGAAGGACGUUGACCAAGGUCACAGGGCAGGAGCAGCAGAGACAGAGUCUCGCUAUGUUGCUCAGACUGGUCUCCAACUUCUGGCUCAAGCGAUCCUCCUGCCUUGACCUCGCUAAGUGCUGGGAUUACCGAAUGGGAGCCACCAUGCCCAGUCUUUACUCAAAAUUCACCUUCUCCCUGGGUCUUCUCUGGAGACCCUAGCUUUAAAAAUAAACAAGUAAAAGACAAA